AUGAACCACAAAGUGUAAACCAAACCUGUUCUACAACCACAGGUGUGCAGCUGUAUGUGCGUCUGACUGUGGUCGUCAUGAUCAUCGUAUUAUCAGCGGCUGUGCUGAUAUUCUGCAGGAAGAGGGCCAGUAAACCCAAAGAACCUGCUGUGGAGUAUGUUAAUGUCACUGAGGCCAGGAUCAGAGAGGAGGACACACAGAGCAGAUCUCCUCCUGAAGAAAUAUCUGCAGUUUACAUUCACUGCAGCCAGUUCUCAGAAUAAGACUUCCAGUAAACUCACUUACUCUGAGCUCCAACAGUGCAGCUGCCUCGUUCAACAGCGCCCCCUGUGGUGAGGCAGAUAAUGUUAUGUGGUUAUGUUACCUGAGGUGAAGAACAUUUUAGAUUCUCAGAGUGGGUGCGUUGGUUGUUUUAUCUCAUAUUUAGGGAGAUUUCUCAGUUUUUAACAUUUUAAAUAAAUUGAUUCAGGGAUUGUACUGGACAGUUUCUCACAGCUUCAGUUCUUCUGUAAAGACAAAAAGUUCAUCCUUUUGUGUUACUUCAUUUUACAAAAAUUAUUCUUCUUCAUUACACAAUAAAAUGUUCUUCACACAUUCAUUUCAUUCACUUUUUUUCUACUGAAGCAAAAACUCUCCUGUUGUAAAAAAACAUAAGAAAGAACGCUUUGAAUAAGUUGGGCUUUAUUGAAACAGCAGAUUUAUUUACUUGUUUUUAAGAAAAAAAGACACUUAUAGAACUCAAUAAUGGACUAAACGGACAGUGAGAGGGGUUUUUUAUCAGUGUGGACACACUGUAGUCAUACAGUUUGUUUACAAUUUGUUUUUCACUCUGCUGUGGAACAAAGAAUCAAAAAGAGGAAAGGAAAGUUGAGUUUGUGGUUUCGGAGGAGGGACUCCAUCAUUUAGAGAAAUGAGGAGUUCCUAAUUUUCCAGUGAAGACAGAAGAGAUGCAGCUUGAACCCAUCAGAGCCUCCAACAUGAAGGUCUGUCACACUUUGAUCUGCGUCGUCUUCCUCUCACUGUGGGAUGGAAACACUGCCUGCCUCGGUGGUGACCCCAUCGCUUAUACAAGAACUGAAGGAGGAAACAUCAGAGCUUCGUGUCACUUUGAUUUCUCUUUGUCUGGAAGACAUAAGAUCUUCUGUAAGGGAGAAUGUGAAGAAAAAGACAUUCUCAUUGAAACAUAUGAGGACAGAGCUCAGAGAGGCAGAUACAGCAUUGAAUAUGAACACUUAAAUCCUGUACCAUCUAUUAUAUCUA